UACGGAGGGGGCUAGCGUUGUUCGGAAUUACUGGGCGUAAAGCGCACGUAGGCGGCUUUGUAAGUUAGAGGUGAAAGCCCGGGGCUCAACUCCGGAAUUGCCUUUAAGACUGCAUCGCUAGAAUUGUGGAGAGGUAAGUGGAAUUCCGAGUGUAGAGGUGAAAUUCGUAGAUAUUGGGAAGAACACCGGUGGCGAAGGCGGCUCUCUGGACCGACACUGACGCUGAGGCGCGAAAGCGUGGGGAGCAAACAGG
rnacentral:rRNA from 1 species